UAGGGAAUCUUCGGCAAUGGACGAAAGUCUGACCGAGCAACGCCGCGUGAGUGAAGAAGGUUUUCGGAUCGUAAAACUCUGUUGUUAGAGAAGAACAAGGACGUUAGUAACUGAACGUCCCCUGACGGUAUCUAACCAGAAAGCCACGGCUAAAUACGUGCCAGCAGCCGCGGUAAUACGUAGGUGGCAAGCGUUGUCCGGAUUUAUUGGGCGUAAAGCGAGCGCAGGCGGUUUCUUAAGUCUGAUGUGGAAGCCCCCGGCUCAACCGGGGAGGGUCAUUGGAAACUGGGAGACUUGAGUGCAGAAGAGGAGAGUGGAAUUCCAUGUGUAGCGGUGAAAUGCGUAGAUAUAUGGAGGAACACCAGUGGAGAAGGCGGCUCUCUGGUCUGUAACUGACGAUGAGGCUCGAAAGCGUGGGGAGCAAACAGG
rnacentral:rRNA from 1 species